ensembl:lncRNA
UAGAUCGGAAGUUGACUGCGAAAACGAAACGGCCGCUAGCUGCAGUCAGUUACAUCAAGAUGGAGAGACCUUUUUACAUUGGAAGUAAAACAAACAGUGGUGCGACAAACAGCGGAGAACUGUGCAGAGGAAUUCCUCCACGUGUCAAACAGAAGGGAAGCGAUCUACCGGCACCACCUUGGCGAUCGACCUAUUGGGCACCGCGGCCUUAGGUCAAUGAAGCUGCCAUUAUUGCAAAAAUCAACUUUAAAAAGGAAAGAACAUGCUUACAUGCACAUUCAAAGCUUUCUCUGCCCCCUGUCUCUCUUUUACUUGUACAUACUGUGAAUGCAGACAGAUAGAGACAACACAAUCCCUUUCCCCUGCCAGAGAAUUACCCCCCCCCCCCCUUACUUUAUGGAAGCCAAGAAGAAAACAAACCAACAAGGAUUUACUAAAAAGUAUUAAUCACGUUGGUAAAGGGAAGCCUACACUGAGAUUUGUGUUAUUGUGGUACCCUAGAGAAGAUGAGUGUCUCCUCAUUUAAUGCCAGACUAUCUCUCUAUUAGGGAAGGACAAGAGCAGGGAGAUGAGAGAAGGCAUAAAAGAAAUACCGCUUUAAAACAACACUGCUGCUUAUCUCUCCCAUCCUGCCCCCACGCUCUUCCUCUGUUUCAACCUCCCUCAGUUCCCCCUGUUGCAUUAUAAUGAAGUUAUCCCACAGCAGAGUUCUUCUCAGCCCAAGCUGUCUUAAGACAGAGGAGGGAUGGAGGGAGCAGCAGAAUCACAGAGAGGAGGAAGUAUCAAAGUCAACAAGGAGGAUAAAGCCUGGGAAGAAGUGAAGGAGAUGGGGAAUAAGGGAAGAGGCAGUGAUUGAAGUUGAUAUGUGACAUCGUGCAAGACUUGCAAAAAUCAUACUCCAGCUAUUUCAUGAUAUUCAACGAUUCCCAUUUAUAUUAGUGAAUAAUGCUAAUGAGUGCAAUACCAAGCAAAUACAUUUGUGUAAAAAUACCGCUAAAGGCACAAUAUUGGCAUUAAUAUUAAAAUAUUUUUCACAUUCAUUUGGAAAGUGUGCUCAGAAAUGUCAUCACAUAAUUUCCUCUGCAGGGGAUUUCUUAUUUGCACAUUGUGCUUUUUGUUCUCAACAAUGACACAAAGACAUGCAAAAAGUCAAAUUGGACAUGUGUUGUUGAAAUUGACAUUUCCCUCUUAUACUUGGUACGGUAAACACAUGAAAAAUACAGUGCGAGGGUAUCAGUCCCAGUCACAGCAGACAUUGUUAUUGCUACAACAGGCUGAGACCACCAGUGAAAUAAUCUAAUGUAAUAUAAUGGUCUAAAGGUCAAUCCACAAUCGUAGAAUGGGAUAACGGUUAAUCGGCUGUCCUCCCUAUUGCAAAGCAAGGAGCUAAAUUCGAUCACACUCGGGACAGUGGACGUGAGCAGUUAAAUUAAAUUGUGACCAAAUGCAUGUAGUGGAGACCUAUGCUGCGCCACUGCAAAGCCUUUGUCAAGUGCCAUAUGGCAUCUUAACAAAAACAACCCUUAUGACAACGGACCCCGUUCAUUUGGCAGGUCAUUGCAAUUCAGAUGUUAUUGCUGCCUCAUGUGGUGCUUGGACUUCACAAUUUGUAUUCGAAUGUCAUUUAGGGACUGAUGUUCCUUCCUCUGCUCAGAAAUGUCCCUGAGGGGCUUCAAAGUCACCCAAUAGACCCCCAGGAGAGUCUGACCCAUACAAGUAAGCGACUUUGUCCCAAUCCAGUGUUGUCCACCACUGCGCAUCCCCAUGCUGAGGUAGAAUUCAGAACAAUAGGACAUGCGGAGAAUGUAAUCAGAAGAAGUCAAGGGACCCUCAGGGGCCUCCGGACCACAAUGUCUACAAUAGCGUGGCAAGGCAAGGACUUGGGUUGUGGGAGGAAACUUAUUUUUCAAUCUUCUGCUCACCUCCUACACCUCAUGGGUAAAGUUUAGGUUCUCAUUAGAUGAAGCACCAGAGAGCUGGGAGAAAGUUGCAGAGAGAAAGGAGCUCACUAAGUCACAACAAGGCGCCACAUUGCCUUAUUCGUGGAAAAUCUUAAUUUAAUGUAAUUGCGGCUCAAAACAAGGUCCAAGCUCUCUCAUGUCCACUCAGAGACUGUGAGAAACCUCAAUAAAGCGCUCCUAUCGCUAAUAUCGCAGCAUAUUUUUCCCUUUCAUUCUUAAAGUCAGUAAAAUAAAAGAACGAAUCCACAUGUACACAAACACAGUGUAGAGGUGACAUUUAAA